CUGUGGGUCCAAAAUUACCUUUAUAUAUAUAUAUAUAUAUAUAUAUAUAUAUAUAGCUGUGUAAUGUCUCCAUUGUAUAAGUAGUUUUCUGUAUAUUUACCACAAAUGUACGUGUAUAUAUAUUGGCCUAAGGCCGCAUGCAAAUACAAGUUGCAUAUUACCUUAAUAUUUGUUAACCUUUUUGUUCGCCAGUUUGACUGGAAGUCUGACAUAUGAAAAACCAGGUGAGUGAGAUUAACUGGUUAUUAAGUUGAGCAAUUACAGGUGGGUUACUGUUCUCCAGUUCUUUCUGGUUAACCAAAUGUUGUUCUCUGUAUUAUUAACGCUAGUCCAGUCCAAGAUUGGGCCACACCUAAAUCUACAAACAGCUUGGGAACUCAUCGAAUCGACAUACAGCAAUUUCUUUAUUCAAAAGGCUCAUGAUGUUGGGUUGUGCACCGUCCAAGGUAACCGCUUUGCUCAGCUUCGAGAACCUUUUCUUAUGAAAAACAAAUGAAAUUUGAAGGUACCAAUAAAAAUAACAAUCAAGACACACACUCAGACUCAGGGCCGGCCCUG
rnacentral:lncRNA from 1 species